rnacentral:rRNA from 1 species
GGCUGAAAUUCGCCUUCAUGAAGCCGGAAUUGCUAGUAAUGGCAGGUCAGCAUACUGCCGUGAAUACGUUCCCGGGCCUUGUACACACCGCCCGUCACACCAUGAGAGUUGGGAAUACCCGAAGCCUGUGAGCUAACUUAAAGAGGCAGCAGUCGAAGGUAGAGCCAAUGAUUGGGGUGAAGUCGUAACAAGGUAAC